CAACAUUCAUUUGAUAUUGAAACCGGUGAACAGGUAAAACUGACAUUGUGAAUUCCAGUAGUUUAAAUUGUAGCAACCUGUUUUGGUGAAGAAUAACCGGGAACUGUCAAAGAAAAGAUUGACAUUUUUUUGUUAGAACCUUGAUUCACAUCAAAGAUUAACAUUUAACAAGAAUUUGUUAUUACAAAAGUGUUAGUUCAUUAUAACAAUACCAUUGAAACUAAGAAAUAUGAAAAGUAAACUUAGAAGAUUCGAGUAGAAGACAAGAGAAGGAAUUCUUGAAAUUUUUGCUAUAUGUUUUCUUCUUUACAAACAUCUAUUUAUAGAUGCUUCUUAAUAAGAAUUACAAUAAAAGCAACACACAAAACUAAAAGACUUGAAAGCUUAAUUAAUAAAAUACAUUGUAUCUAAGUAAUGCUUAGUACUAUAUAUCUAGGAUGAACUUGAUUAUUUGGGUUCAUGAACCUUCUAAUUAAAAGUCUCAUCAACUUCUAACAAAUACUAAAGAUAUUCUGUAAUAUAAUUGUCUUUGAGAUUUUAAGUUAGUGGUCAAAUAUGUAUUAGGGUAUUAAAAAUAUUUGUUUCAUAACACAUAUUGUGAAUGCUUAAUCCUUCUCCUGCUACUUGAUACCAAAAAUCGGGUUUCCAAGAGCACUCGGUUAUGUAAUCAAAAUUUGAGUCAAAAUACAUAUAAAAAUAAAUCUGCAAUAGCUUUCUGUAAUCAGCUAUCCUAUUUAUCUUCUUAAUAUUUCAUAUGAUUUACAGAUUCAUGCUUUCAGCUGUAUAAUUCUAGCACACCUUUGCUAAUGGCAAUAAAUUCUACACACAAGACAUUGUCAAAGUAGUUGACAAGGACUUGUUUUUAUGAUUGCGUGUCUUUUCUACAAUUUACUUGUGUUUAUAUUGUAGUUUUCCAAAUUUAUAUUUAUCUUUUAUAUUUUGCAGGCACUUGAGCGGCUCUCUUUUGGAGGAAGCCACAUUAAUGAAACCGUUAUAGCUCAGAGUAGAAUUUUACUAUUUUGGUAUUACAUUAGUUACCUUCUCCUUGAGAAAAACAAGCCCAAAUACCAACAGCUCGAGCCACCGCCUCUUGAACAUAUUGAACCACAGCUACAGCUUGAGCCAUUGGAUCCUGACCAAGAAGAACAACUCAAAUUUGAUCCUGUUUCACCGAAACAAGAUGAAUCAAACCAGCAAUAUGAAUCACCUGCUGUUGACCAAAUCCGACCAUUUGUCUUAGAAGGUUUGUAAAUAUUUAGGCAUAAAACAAUAUAAUUACAAGAUCUGCAUCUAUUUAUUGAUAUAUCUCAUACAGGUACUAAGUAAAGGAGAGACGUCUUUGCAAUUAAGGAGGGUCUCGUGCCUUUUUCUGAGCUGAUAGAAAUAGACAACAAUAAAAGUUCAUUUCUAUGUAUAUCUGAAAAACUGAAGCAGCUCAGAAAUCUCACUUGUAAUGUAGAAUGUCGCUGUAUAAUUAAAUGUCAGGCACUCAUCUUUCUCUUUCACCGGCGAAAAUCCUAUUUCAACAUGUGCUGUGCUUUCUGCUGGUUGAGG
rnacentral:lncRNA from 1 species